rnacentral:rRNA from 1 species
CCUACGGGGGGCAGCAGUGGGGAAUAUUGGACAAUGGGGGCAACCCUGAUCCAGCCAUGCCGCGUGUGUGAAGAAGGCCCUCGGGUUGUAAAGCACUUUCAGUGAGGAAGAACGCCUGGUGGUUAAUACCCAUCAGGAAAGACAUCACUCACAGAAGAAGCACCGGCUAACUCCGUGCCAGCAGCCGCGGUAAUACGGAGGGUGCGAGCGUUAAUCGGAAUUACUGGGCGUAAAGCGCGCGUAGGUGGCUUGAUAAGCCGGUUGUGAAAGCCCCGGGCUCAACCUGGGAACGGCAUCCGGAACUGUCAAGCUAGAGUGCAGGAGAGGAAGGUAGAAUUCCCGGUGUAGCGGUGAAAUGCGUAGAGAUCGGGAGGAAUACCAGUGGCGAAGGCGGCCUUCUGGACUGACACUGACACUGAGGUGCGAAAGCGUGGGUAGCAAACAGGAUUAGAUACCCCAGUAGUU